rnacentral:misc_RNA from 1 species
UAGAACUGGGAUCACCAAAAGAAUAUGAAAUGUUAAAAAUAAAACUAUGAACAUAAAAUCAAUGAGCAGAUAAAUAAAUAACAAAGGAGAAAUAUAUAAGGUUUUGGUACUUAAUGGUAUCAGUUCUAUUAUGCUUAAAUAAGUUAGCUGAAUGAAUAUCAUUUAAUCCAAAUCAUGUACUGAGCUAAAAUAAAAAUUUAUGCUGUAAAAAUAUUGUUGAAUUAAAGUUGCAAGCAUAACAUAAAAUCUGUAAUAUCCUCGUACACUUAUGAUAUGCUUCCUGUAGAUAAUGUUGGCAUCUCAAGCACAAUAAUAAACUAUGGCAGCCUGAGAGCAAUGCUGGCAUAUUGGACUCUAUGAUGACACUACUGACCCAAGAGCAAUAAAAAUACCUGUCAUGCACAUGUGCAGAGCUACCUUCAAAAGGCGACCACCUGAUAUACG